rnacentral:rRNA from 1 species
GACGAACGCUGGCGGCGUGCUUAACACAUGCAAGUCGAGCGGUAAGGCCCUUUCGGGGGUACACGAGCGGCGAACGGGUGAGUAACACGUGGGUGACCUGCCCUCAGCUCUGGGAUAAGCCUGGGAAACCGGGUCUAAUACUGGAUAUGACUCCAUGACGCAUGUUGUGGGGUGGAAAGCCUUGUGCGGCUGAGGAUGGGCCCGCGGCCUAUCAGCUUGUUGGUGGGGUGAGGCCUACCAAGGCGACGACGGGUAGCCGGCCUGAGAGGGCGACCGGCCACACUGGGACUGAGACAC